CAAAAAACCAUGACGAUGUAUAAGUGUGUCAUUUUGAUUGGAAUUUAAAAAUUAUUUCUUAUAUAUUUUGUUACUUAUACUAGUAAUUAUAUAUUUUAUAUAUAAUGUUAUUACCAUUGGUUUUGCUUUUGGCUUUCUGUAUAGACCUCAUUGAUAUAAUUUAUUCAAUUGUGUUUGAUUGGUAUAAUGAAGAAAGGAAAUUAUGAUCUCGUUAUGAUAAUAAUUAUCCAUGACUACAAAGUGAUUAAACAUACACGGGCUAAAAGAAAUUUUAUUUUUUAAAUAAAAUUACUUAGUUAAAUUACCAACUCUACUAGAAUACUGCUUACUCAUAUUAAACUGAUAUCAUAUAUAUUUUGUUAAUGAACUCUUGGCGUUAUUAUUUUUUCAUUUCAUUUUUUACUUCGAAUCAUUUCAUCUUGUUUGCACAAAGUAAUUGAAUCUGACCUUCGAUUUCAACUUACAUCAAGUGAAAUUUUCUACAAGGACAUAUGUAAAUUUAAGUAACUAAGUGUUGAUGUUUAUGUACAUUCCUUUUCAUAUAAAAAUUAUGCACAUAUGUGUGAUAACGUUAGAUUCAGUUGAAUUUAGUAAUAUUUGUAUAUAUCAAUUAUUUGUUAUUAUUUAUAUAUACAUCUAUUUUGUAUACAACAGUAAUACAUUUGGAAAAAAUAAAAUGAGGUUACUGAUU
rnacentral:sRNA from 1 species